ACAGAGGGGGCAAGCGUUGCUCGGAAUCACUGGGCGUAAAGGGCGCGUAGGCGGGAUGGCAAGUCGGUCGUGAAAUCCUCGGGCUCAACUCGAGGGGGUCGGCCGAUACUGCCGUUCUUGAGGGAUGCAGAGGAGACUGGAAUUCCCGGUGUAGCGGUGAAAUGUGUAGAGAUCGGGAGGAACACCGGUGGCGAAGGCGGGUCUCUGGGCUGACACUGACGCUCAUGCACGAAAGCGUGGGGAGCAAACAGGA
rnacentral:rRNA from 1 species